AGCAGCCGCGGUAAUUCCAGCUCCAAUAGCGUAUAUUAAAGUUGUUGCAGUUAAAAAGCUCGUAGUUGAAUUUCGGGGCCAGUAGGUUGGUCGUGCCACUGGUAUGCACUGGCCUUACUGGUCCCUCCUUCUUGUAGAACCGUGAUGCCAUUAAUUUGGUGUUGCGGGGAAACAGGACUGUUACUUUGAAAAAAUUAGAGUGCUUAAAGCAGGCUCGCGCUUGAAUACAUUAGCAUGGAAUAACGGAAUAGGACGAUCGAACCUAUUUUGUUGGUUUCUAGGAUCGACGUAAUGAUUAAUAGGGAUAGUUGGGGGCAUUAGUAUUCAAUUGUCAGAGGUGAAAUUCUUGGAUUUAUUGAAGACUAACUACUGCGAAAGCAUUUGCCAAGGAUGUUUUCAUUAAUCAAGAACGAAAGUUAGGGGAUCGAAGACGAUCAGAUACCGUCGUAGUCUUAACCAUAAACUAUGCCGACUAGGGAUCGGAUGAAG
rnacentral:rRNA from 1 species